rnacentral:snRNA from 1 species
AUGCUUACCUGGUUCCGAGGCCUCAUUGAUCCUUGAGGGUGAUCCCUAGGGAGAGGCGCGGGCAUUGUGCUGCGCUCGCGUUGACCCUGCCACAACCCCAAAGUGGGGAAGAUGGGGCACGACAAUGUC